GAGUAUGAGGGUGAUCUGGCUGCGACAUCUGUCACCCCAUUGAUGGCCAGGGCUGAUGUGGCUGGCUAGGAGGGUGUUCCCUUCCUCCUCACUGCUCCAUGUGUGUUCCUCCUGAAGCUGCACACUCGGUCCAAGAGGAUGACCUUCCCCUAAUAGAGGAGGGCUGGCCUCAGGUCAAGGGUAUUAGAGCAGCUGAGCUCCCCUGUUAGAACUUCUAAAUGAGCUCUCAAAGUCCGUAUUUGUUAAAAUUACUUUCAGUUAUCUCAAUUUAUCUGUUACCACUGACAAAUAUAAAUAUUUUUAAGAACUUU
rnacentral:snRNA from 1 species